rnacentral:rRNA from 1 species
UACGAAGGGGGCUAGCGUUGCUCGGAAUGACUGGGCGUAAAGGGCGCGUAGGCGGCUUGCUUUGUCGGGCGUGAAAUUCCAGGGCUUAACCUUGGGGCUGCGUUCGAGACGGGUGAUCUUGAGUUCGGAAGAGGGUCGUGGAAUUCCCAGUGUAGAGGUGAAAUUCGUAGAUAUUGGGAAGAACACCGGUGGCGAAGGCGGCGACCUGGUCCGAGACUGACGCUGAGGCGCGAAAGCGUGGGGAGCAAACAGG